AUACGUAGGGUGCGAGCGUUGUCAGGAACUACUGGGCGUAAAGAGCUCGUAGGUGGUUUGUCGCGUCGUCUGUGAAAUUCCGGGGCUUAACUCCGGGCGUGCAGGCGAUACGGGCAUAACUUGAGUACUGUAGGGGAGACUGGAAUUCCUGGUGUAGCGGUGAAAUGCGCAGAUAUCAGGAGGAACACCGGUGGCGAAGGCGGGUCUCUGGGCAGUAACAGACGCUGAGGAGCGAAAGCAUGGGUAGCGAACAGGAUUAGAUACCCUGGUAGUCCAUGCCGUAAACGGUGGGCGCUAGGUGUAGGGGUCUUCCACGACUUCUGUGCCGUAGCUAACGCAUUAAGCGCCCCGCCUGGGGAGUACGGCCGCAAGGCUAAAACUCAAAGGAAUUGACGGGG
rnacentral:rRNA from 1 species